rnacentral:rRNA from 1 species
GACAGAGGUGCCGAGCGUUAGGCGGAAUCACUGGGCUUAAAGCGUGUGUAGGCGGACGUCUAAGUACCUUGUGAAAUCCCACGGCUCAACCGUGGAACUGCUCGGUAUACUGGUCGUCUUGAGCCACUUAGGGGCAGUCGGAACAGACGGUGGAGCGGUGAAAUGCGUAGAUAUCAGGAGGAACACCGGUGGCGAAGGCGGGUCUCUGGGCCGUAACUGACGCUGAGGAGCGAAAGCGUGGGGAGCGAACGG